AUUUCUAAUCAAGUUUUUAUUCUAUAUGGCCUUAGGAAAAGAAGAAACUAUGGUCUGUGGUCACAUAAAACAGCUUCCAGAGUGACUUUAAAUCUCUGCAUUUCCCAGGCCUGAGACUCAGCACGGAGCAUCCAAGGCACUCCUAGUCUGUUGAGGCACAGCCUCCACUGUGAGUCCUCCCCCUAUUUCCAUACUCACAUGAUUGAGUGUCUCUCUCAACUUGUCUGCUGGGGACCCUCUGGGGAUGGAUCCUGUGCUUGACUUUCAUGCUGUUCGUCUGAAGCUCUGAAACACUUCCUACCACUUCACAUCUCUUCUUUGGGGGGCAGGCCCUGCACCAACCAGCCAGAAGCUUUUUUUUAAAACCACAUGUUGUCAUGACAAUUGGCCACUUGAUUUCAAACUGACUUCACAGCACAAACGUGACUAUUUCCUGAGGAACAAGAAUACUGAUUUGUCCCCUGAACUGAAAAGGGAUGCCAUGUGUGUGGUCUCUA
rnacentral:lncRNA from 1 species